rnacentral:rRNA from 1 species
UGUGGUUAAAAAGCUCGUAGUUGGAUCUCGGCGGACUGAGGGCGGUUUGCUUGCUAGUAUUACUGCCCUAUAGUCCGUAGUUUUGCCAGAGGUUUCGGGGUGCUCUUAAUCGAGUGUCCCGGGAUGCUGGCAGGUUUACUUUGAAAAAAUUAGAGUGCUCAAAGCAGGCUAUUACGCCUGAAUAUUCGUGCAUGGAAUAAUAGAAUAGGAAGUCGUUUCUAUUUUGUUGGUUUUCGGAAAUCGACUAAUGAUUAAUAGGGACAGUCGGGGGCAUUUGUAUUCAAACGACAGAGGUGAAGUUCUUGGACCGUUUGAAGACAAACUACUGCGAAAGCAUUUGCCAAGAAUGUUUUCAUUAAUCAAGAACGAAAGUUAAAGGUUCGAAGGCGAUUAGAUACCGCCCUAGUUUUAACCAUAAACGAUGCCAGCUAGCGAUCUGCGGACGUUUUUUUUGUAGACUCCGCAGGAAGCUUCCGGGAAACCAAAGCAUUUGGGUUCCAGGGGAAGUAUGGUUGCAAAGCUGAAACUUAAAGGAAUUGACGGAAGGGCACCACCAGGAGUGGAGCCUGUGGCUUAAUUUGACUCAACACGGGAAAUCUCACCAGGCCCGGACACUGGA